rnacentral:lncRNA from 12 species
UGGUUAUAGCUUAUUAAAGAUAUCAACUGAAGUGAUUUUAAUGCCUAUAUAUUAGGUUGUCCUUGAAAAAAUAGUCUUUAAAUUAAACCUAUUCAAAAAUACCUUUAUAAGACAAAUAAUGAUGCAGUUCAUAAUGAAAGCAAAGGUUAGUCUUUCAGGUAACAUAAGCCAAUUUUUUUUAGGGAUUUGGGUAAAAUUUUUUAAAAAGUUUCUUACAGAGAUGAAGAUGAAAAUAAAUUUAUAUCACCAACUUUAUGAGCUCAGGAAUCUAGGUGAAGAUUACAAAUCAUCACCUAUGCUUAGACCUACCUCUAAAGUGGACCUUUUAAAAUCCUCACCUCCCAGUAAAUGGAUGCCUCCUGAAAUCUGGGUAGCCUGUAUAAAAAAGAAGACAUAA